rnacentral:rRNA from 1 species
AACGAACGCUGGCGGCAGGCUUAAAAAAUGCAAGUCGAACGCCCCGCAAGGGGAGUGGCAGAAGAGUGAGUAACGCGUGGGAAUCUACCCAAUUCUACGGAACAACUGAGGGAAACUUCAGCUAAUACCGUAUACGCCCUACGGGGGAAAGAUUUAUCGGAAUUGGAUGAGCCCGCGUUGGAUUAGCUAGUUGGUGGGGUAAUGGCCUACCAAGGCGACGAUCCAUAGCUGGUCUGAGAGGAUGAUCAGCCACACUGGGACUGAGACACGGCCCAGACUCCUACGGGAGGCAGCAGUGGGGAAUAUUGGACAAUGGGCGAAAGCCUGAUCCAGCCAUGCCGCGUGAGUGAUGAAGGCCUUAGGGUUGUAAAGCUCUUUCAGUGGGGAAGAUAAUGACGGUACCCACAGAAGAAGCCCCGGCUAACUUCGUGCCAGCCGCCGCCGUAAUAC